GACAGAGGUGCCGAGCGUUAGGCGGAAUCACUGGGCUUAAAGCGUGUGUAGGCGGGCGGGCAAGUACCUUGUGAAAUCCCACGGCUCAACCGUGGAACGGCUGGGUAUACUGCCUGUCUUGAGCCAACUAGGGGCGAGCGGAACAGACGGUGGAGCGGUGAAAUGCGUAGAUAUCGUCUGGAACGCCGAAGGUGAAAACAGCUCGCUGGGGUUGUGCUGACGCUGAGACACGAACGAGCCAGGGAGCGGAACGGG
rnacentral:rRNA from 1 species